UGGGGAAUUUUCCGCAAUGGGCGCAAGCCUGACGGAGCAACGCCGCGUGAGGGAAGACGGUCUGUGGAUUGUAAACUUCUUUUCUCUGUGAAGAUAAUGACGGUAGCAGAGGAAUCAGCAUCGGCUAACUCCGUGCCAGCAGCCGCGGUAAUACGGAGGAUGCGAGCGUUAUCCGGAAUGAUUGGGCGUAAAGCGUCUGCAGGUGGUCAAUCAAGUCUUAUGUUAAAGAGCGGGGCUUAACUCUGUGAGGGCAUAGGAAACUGAUGGACUAGAGUACAGUAGGGGUCACGGGAAUUCCCGGUGUAGCGGUGAAAUGCGUAGAUAUCGGGAAGAACACCAGCGGCGAAAGCGCGUGACUGGGCUGAGACUGACACUCAUGGACGAAAGCUAGGGGAGCGAA
rnacentral:rRNA from 1 species